GAAGCCUGCACACAGCAGACAUCAAUGAGAGAGCCAGAAACAUGCAUUGCAGACGAAAAAAGGAUGAGGAUCUACUGACAAAUUAAGGAACCAAUGAUGUCCAGGUGUCAGACUCUGCAGAGAAGAUGGAAGAAAUCCUGGUGUCUGGACCAGAUGAAGAAGAAAAGUAAAGACAACAGAGAAGACGUCACUCAGAUGCCGCAAUCAUCAUGGAUCGAUGCAUCAAAAGAGUUAAAUGACAAAUAUCAUUAAAUUAGAAAAUGUUUUUCCCUUUAAAGCAUGCUGAAUGAACAGAAGGGAAAAAGAAAAUGCCAUAAACAAACCAAACAAACAAAACAUAACAAAAGAAUAUCCUUUAAAUAAAAUAUAAUUUGGU